rnacentral:rRNA from 1 species
GACGAACGCUGGCGGCGUGCCUAAUACAUGCAAGUCGAACGCUUCUUUCCUCCCGAGUGCUUGCACUCAAUUGGAAAGAGGAGUGGCGGACGGGUGAGUAACACGUGGGUAACCUACCCAUCAGAGGGGGAUAACACUUGGAAACAGGUGCUAAUACCGCAUAACAGUUUAUGCCGCAUGGCAUAAGAGUGAAAGGCGCUUUCGGGUGUCGUUGAUGGAUGGACCCGCGGUGCAUUAGCUAGUUGGUGAGGUAACGGCUCACCAAGGCCACGAUGCAUAGCCGACCUGAGAGGGUGAUCGGCCACACUGGGACUGAGACACGGCCCAGACUCCUACGGGAGGCAGCAGUAGGGAAUCUUCGGCAAUGGACGAAAGUCUGACCGAGCAACGCUGCGUGAGUGAAGAAGGUUUUCGGAUCGUAAAACUCUGUUGUUAGAGAAGAACAAGGACGUUAGUAACUGAACGUCCCCUGACGGUAUCUAACCAGAAAGCCACGGCUAACUACGUG